GAUAAACGCUAGCGGCAGGCUUAACACAUGCAAGUCGAGGGGCAGCAUAGAUUGUAGCAAUACAAUUGGUGGCGACCGGCGCACGGGUGAGUAACGCGUAUGCAACCUGCCCGUCACAGGGGGAUAAUCCGGAGAAAUCUGGUCUAAUACCCCAUAACAUAUGGAUCGGCAUCGGUUCAUGUUGAAAUUUUCGGAGGUGACGGAUGGGCAUGCGUAGCAUUAGCUUGUUGGUGAGGUAACGGCUCACCAAGGCGACGAUGCUUAGGGGGACUGAGAGGUUAUCCCCCCACACUGGUACUGAGACACGGACCAGACUCCUACGGGAGGCAGUAGUGAGGAAUAUUGGUCAAUGGGCGCAAGCCUGAACCAGCCAUGCCGCGUGCAGGAUGACGGCUCUAUGAGUUGUAAACUGCUUUUGUACGAGGGUAAAGUGGGUUACGUGUAACCUUUUGAAAGUAUCGUACGAAUAAGGAUCGGCUAACUCCGUGCCAGCCGCCGCAGUAA
rnacentral:rRNA from 1 species